AUUGAACGCUGGCGGCAGGCCUAACACAUGCAAGUCGAGCGGAUGAAGGGAUCUUGCUCCUGGAUUCAGCGGCGGACGGGUGAGUAAUGCCUAGGAAUCUGCCUGGUAGUGGGGGAUUACUUCCGGACACGGUCGCUAAUACCGCAUACGUCCUGAGUGAGAAAGUGGGGGAUCUUCGGACCUCACGCUAUCAGAUGAGCCUAGGUCGGAUUAGCUAGUUGGUGGGGUAAAGGCCUACCAAGGCGACGAUCCGUAACUGGUCUGAGAGGAUGAUCAGUCACACUAGAACUGAGAAAAGGUCCAGACGACUACGGGAGGAAGCAGUGGGGAAUAUUGGACAAUGGGCGAAAGACUGAUCAAGCAAUGCCGCGUGUGUGAAGAAGGUCUUCGGAGUGUAAAGAACUUUAAGUGGGGAGGAAGGGCAGUAAGUUAAUACCUUGCUGGUUUGACGUUACCAACAGAAUAAGCACCGGCUAACUUCGUG
rnacentral:rRNA from 1 species